GGAGUGAGCUAGGCAGUCGCUGUUAAUUCAGAGGAAAGUCCGGGCUCCAUAGAGCAAGAUGCCAGGUAACGCCUGGGAAGUGUAAGCUUACGGAAAGUGCCACAGAAAAUAUACCGCCAUUUUUUGGUAAGGGUGAAAUGGUGCGGUAAGAGCGCACCGCGCUGAUGGCAACAUCAGUGGCAGGGCAAACCCCAUCUGGAGCAAGACCAAGUAGAGAUCCCGCUUUUUGCAAUACGCUGCUCGCGUUUGGAUCUGGGUAGGUCGCAUGAGGUAUCACGGUGACGUGUGCCCAAGAUAAAUGACUGUCCACGACAGAACCCGGCUUAUCGGCUAACUCCAACU
rnacentral:RNase_P_RNA from 1 species